rnacentral:ncRNA from 1 species
AUUUCCAGCGGAGAUGGCAUUCCUCCCACGUAUUUCUUCGUGAACCGCCUUCGGGCUGAUGAUGCCUGCAGACUU